rnacentral:piRNA from 1 species
UGUGCUUAUUUGUGAUUAAAUUGCACCCGA